rnacentral:rRNA from 1 species
GAUAAGAAACUAAAUAGGAUUCCCUCAGUAAUGGCGAAUGAACAGGGAUUGGCUCAGCACGGAAAUCGGGGCCUCUGGCCUUGAAUUGUAGUCUCGAGGUGUACUACCAACGGAGGCGCAGGUGUAAGCCUUUUGGAAAAGAGCAUCAACGAGGGUGAGAGUCCCGUGUGUCAUCUGCAGUCCCCCGUGCACGGUGUACAUUCUAAGAGUCACGUUCCUCGGGAUUGGAGCGCAAAGUGGGUGGUAAAUUUCAUCUAAAGCUGAAUAUUGGUUCGAGACCGAUAGCAAACAAGUACCAUGAGGGAAAGGUGAAAAGGACUUUGAAAAGAGAGUUAAAAGUGCCUGAAAUUGCUGAAAGGGAAGCGAACGAAGCCAGUGUGACUUGGCGAGAUUGCUGUGCGCCAGCGUGACUGCCUGCCUCUUCAGCGCAAGCGUGGUGGCAGGUCUGGAUCAGGACGCGCGCGGUGCUUCUUGCCCUGUCAGUCACCGCCAGUUCACGCAAAAGGAAAACAGCAGGGACAUGGUAGCCUGUCUCCGGGUGGGUGAAUGUGUCUGU